rnacentral:rRNA from 1 species
ACGAUUGGGACUGAUGCUGGCUCUUCACUGAGCAUGUGCUCGUCUCGUCUAUUUAUCUUCUCUUGUGCACAUCUUGUGGUCUUGAAUUGAAAACCUUUUCGCAUUCGUGCGGUUUGGGAGAUUGUUAAACCUUCUCCUGCUUUCGUCGCGGUUUGGGAGAUUGUUAACCCUUUCUUCUGUUUCCUUCGCGCGGUUUGGGAGGUUGUUAACCCCUUCUCCUGCUUGAUUCAAGGCCAUGUUUUCAUAUACACUAUAUAAAGUUACAGAAUGUCUUUUAACGAUUGCGCUUGUCGUAGUCAUUAAACCUAUACAACUUUCAGCAACGGAUCUCUUGGCUCUCCUAUCGAUGAAGAACGCAGCGAAAUGCGAUAAGUAAUGUGAAUUGCAGAAUUCAGUGAAUCAUCGAAUCUUUGAACGCACCUUGCGCCCUUUGGUAUUCCGAAGGGCAUGCCUGUUUGAGUGUCAUUAAAUUAUCAACCUUGCUCGCUUUUACUAGUUUGAGUUAGGCUUGGAUGUGAGGGCUUUGCUGGCUUCCUUCAGUGGAUGGUCUGCUCCCUUUAAAUACAUUAGUGGGAUCUCUUGUGGACCGUCACUUGGUGUGAUAAUUAUCUAUGCCUUGCGACUUUGAAGCAAACUUAUGGGAAUCCGCUUAUAACCGUCUUCGGACAAUUAAUGACUAUUUGACCUCAAAUCAGGUAGGACUACCCGCUGAACUUAAGCAUAU